AGCGAACGCUGGCGGCAGGCCUAACACAUGCAAGUCGAACGGACCCUUCGGGGUUAGUGGCGGACGGGUGAGUAACACGUGGGAACGUGCCUUUAGGUUCGGAAUAGCUCCUGGAAACGGGUGGUAAUGCCGAAUGUGCCCUUCGGGGGAAAGAUUUAUCGCCUUUAGAGCGGCCCGCGUCUGAUUAGCUGGUUGGUGGGGUAAUGGCCCACCAAGGCUACGAUCAGUAGCUGGUCUGAGAGGAUGACCAGCCACAUUGGGACUGAGACACGGCCCAAACGCCUACGGGAGGCAGCAGUGGGGAAUCUUGCGCAAUGGGCGAAAGCCUGACGCAGCCAUGCCGCGUGUAUGAUGAAGGUCUUAGGAUUGUAAAAUACUUUCACCGGUGAAGGUAAUGACUGUAGCCGGAGAAGAAGCCCCGGCUAACUUCGUGCCAGCCGCCGCUGUAAAAC
rnacentral:rRNA from 1 species